rnacentral:rRNA from 1 species
UACAGAGGGUGCGAGCGUUAAUCGGAAUUACUGGGCGUAAAGGGUGCGUAGGCGGUUUUUUAAGUUAGAUGUGAAAUUCCUGGGCUUAACCUGGGAACUGCGUCUGAUACUGGGAAGCUAGAGUAUUGUAGAGGAAAGUGGAAUUUCCGGUGUAGCGGUGAAAUGCGUAGAUAUCGGAAGGAACAUCAGUGGCGAAGGCGACUUUCUGGACAAAUACUGACGCUGAGGCACGAAAGCAUGGGGAGCAAACAGGAUUAGAUACCCUGGUAGUCCAUGCCGUAAACGAUGAAGACUGGCUGUUGGGGACCCUAGGGUUCUUAGUAGCGAAGCUAACGCGUUAAGUCUUCCGCCUGGGGAGUACGGCCGCAAGGUUAAA